AUCUUUGCUCCUGGUUGGCUCUACGAGACUCAACAACUGCCUGAUUUUUGGACUGCUCAAAAUCGUUGGUGGACCCUUGUAGAAAAGUCAUGGGGAUUAGUGAACAAAUAUCCCAAAACACUACCAUUUUAUUCAAAUUUUGAUCAGGGUCAUGGAUAUCAUAUUUCAGUUGAGGGACAACAAGUAAUGGAAACUUCUUGGAACAACAUGUCUUGCCAAGGGCUUCAGUGUCAAAGAAGCAUCUUAUAAUGGGGG
rnacentral:misc_RNA from 1 species